rnacentral:rRNA from 1 species
ACCCGAAACCAGGUGAUCUACCCUUGGUCAGGUUGAAGUUCAGGUAACACUGAAUGGAGGACCGAACCGACUUACGUUGAAAAGUGAGCGGAUGAACUGAGGGUAGCGGAGAAAUUCCAAUCGAACCUGGAGAUAGCUGGUUCUCUCCGAAAUAGCUUUAGGGCUAGCCUCAAGUGAUGAUUAUUGGAGGUAGAGCACUGUUUGGACGAGGGGCCCCUCUCGGGUUACCGAAUUCAGACAAACUCCGAAUGCCAAUUAAUUUAACUUGGGAGUCAGAACAUGGGUGAUAAGGUCCGUGUUCGAAAGGGAAACAGCCCAGACCACCAGCUAAGGUCCCAAAAUAUAUGUUAAGUGGAAAAGGAUGUGGCGUUGCCCAGACAACUAGGAUGUUGGCUUAGAAGCAGCCAUCAUUUAAAGAGUGCGUAAUAGCUCACUAGUCGAGUGACACUGCGCCGAAAAUGUACCGGGGCUAAACAUAUUACCGAAGCUGUGGAUUGUCCUUUGGACAAUGGUAGGAGAGCGUUCUAAGGGCGUUGAAGCAUGAUCGUAAGGACAUGUGGAGCGCUUAGAAGUGAGAAUGCCGGUGUGAGUAGCGAAAGACGGGUGAGAAUCCCGUCCACCGAUUGACUAAGGUUUCCAGAGGAAGGCUCGUCCGCUCUGGGUUAGUCGGGUCCUAAGCUGAGGCCGACAGGCGUAGGCGAUGGAUAACAGGUUGAUAUUCCUGUACCACCUAUAAUCGUUUUAAUCGAUGGGGGGACGCAGUAGGAUAGGCGAAGCGUGCGAUUGGAUUGCACGUCUAAGCAGUAAGGCUGAGUAUUAGGCAAAUCCGGUACUCGUUAAGGCU